UCUUACUGUAAUUCAACAUGUCUAUGCUACGCGCAUCUUCCACAUCACUGUAUAUAUUUGACUCUAUAUCACUACUCCACUUGUGCUCCAAUACAAAAAUAGGAAUGUUCUGCAAUUCUGCUGUCAUUUUUUUACACAAUAAUGCAAUAACUGUGUAGUACUUUAUAACCUGCCGACAGUUCUCUAGGAAAUCAGACUAAGUCUGGGUCUAUUUUUAGACAGCUAUUAUUAAUUUCCUCUACCACGCGGAAGAAAUCCCAGCAUGGGUUAAUUUUGUUUCUUAUGGGAAAACAUCAUCCUGAUGACGUUCUUUCAAUACGUUGACUGAUUCUUGAUUGUUGUUCUUAUUGUCAUCGAACAAGUAGCAAAUGUUGCACUAGCAUUUGAAUGCGUAGAAAUAUUAUACUCUUUGGCCAAUAGAGAUGUUUUGGAUACUUCUUGGCUUUCCUGGAAUAUAUAUAUAUCUCAUCUACAUAGAAUCAAUCUCUUGAUUUAAAAAAUAUAGUAAAUAUGUAUAUAUAGCAAAUAUA